AACUUUUGACAACGGAUCUCUUGGUUCUCCCAUCGAUGAAGAACGCAGCGAAAUGCGAUAAGUAAUGUGAAUUGCAGAAUUCAGUGAAUCAUCGAAUCUUUGAACGCACCUUGCGCUCCUUGGUAUUCCUUGGAGCAUGCCUGUUUGAG
rnacentral:rRNA from 1 species